GCGGAGGAAAAGAAAAUAACAAUGAUAUCCCUAGUAACGGCGAGUGAAGAGGAUAGAGCUCAAAGUUGGAACCUGCUUGGUGUAGCUAAGCCGGAUUGUAAACUAGAGAAGUGUUUUCCUGGCUGGCCGAGUAAAAAAGUCCUUUGGAACAGGGCAUCAUAGAGGGUGAGAAUCCCGUCUUUGGCUCGAGCAUUAGUCUUUUGUGAUACAUUUUCAAUGAGUCAGGUUGUUUGGGAAUGCAGCCUAAAUUGGGAGGUAAAUCUCUCCUAAAGCUAAAUAUUUGCGAGAAACCGAUAGCGAACAAGUACCGUGAGGGAAAGAUGAAAAGAACUUUGAAAAGAGAGUUAAACAGUAUGUGAAAUUGUUAAAAGGGAACCGUUUGGAGCCAGUCUGGCUUUCCUAUAAUCAAUCUAGGCUUCGGCCUUGAUGCACUUGUAGGUUAUCGCCGGCCAACGACAAUUGGGAUCGCGAGGGAAAAAACCUUUGGAAAUGUAGCCAUUCUGCAAAGUUUGGUGUUAUAGUCCUUGGGAAAAUACCUUGUGCUCGAUUGAGGAUCGCAGUGAAUGCCUUUCGGGGCAGGAUGUGGUGAGGUAGGUUUGCUUGACCUAAGGUGACUUUCGGGUUGCUUUAGCGAUGGCUUACUCCUUGCUUCUAUCUUUAUUCGCUUAGGUUGUUGGCUUAAUGACUCUAAAUGAC
rnacentral:rRNA from 1 species